rnacentral:rRNA from 1 species
AAGCAGGGGAUCUUCGGACCUUGCGCUAAUAGAUGAGCCUAAGUCAGAUUAGCUAGUUGGUGGGGUAAAGGCCUACCAAGGCGACGAUCUGUAGCGGGUCUGAGAGGAUGAUCCGCCACACUGGGACUGAGACACGGCCCAGACUCCUACGGGAGGCAGCAGUGGGGAAUAUUGGACAAUGGGCGAAAGCCUGAUCCAGCCAUGCCGCGUGUGUGAAGAAGGCCUUUUGGUUGUAAAGCACUUUAAGCGAGGAGGAGGCUACUUAGAUUAAUACUCUAGGAUAGUGGACGUUACUCGCAGAAUAAGCACCGGCUAACUCUGUGCCAGCAGCCGCGGUAAUACAGAGGGUGCGAGCGUUAAUCGGAUUUACUGGGCGUAAAGCGUGCGUAGGCGGCUUCUUAAGUCGGAUGUGAAAUCCCUGAGCUUAACUUAGGAAUUGCAUUCGAUACUGGGAAGCUAGAGUAUGGGAGAGGAUGGUAGAAUUCCAGGUGUAGCGGUGAAAUGCGUAGAGAUCUGGAGGAAUACCGAUGGCGAAGGCAGCCAUCUGGCCUAAUACUGACGCUGAGGUACGAAAGCAUGGGGAGCAAACAGGAUUAGAUACCCUGGUAGUCCAUGCCGUAAACGAUGUCUACUAGCCGUUGGGGCCUUUGA